rnacentral:sRNA from 1 species
AGGAUAAAACGCACAAUCGCGAAUUUUCCCCAACGAAGAUAGAGACAUUUUCGUCCAUUACUGCGACUUUUGUCUUCUGAAAUGUCACCUGAUAUCGCGAUUAACGCGCCAGGCUAAUGUUUUUACUCUUUUUUUGAUCCAUAAAGUAAGAUGA